CAGUAGCCACGGUAAUACGAAGGGAGCUAGCGUUAUUCGGAAUUACUGGGCGUAAAGCGCACGUAGGCGGCUUUGUAAGUAAGAGGUGAAAGCCCGGAGCUCAACUCCGGAACUGCCUUUUAGACUGCAUCGCUUGAAUCCAGGAGAGGUGAGUGGAAUUCCGAGUGUAGCGGUGAAAUGCGUAGAGAUCGGGAGGAACAUCAGUGGCGAAGGCGGCCAUCUGGGACAACACUGACGCUGAGGCACGAAAGCGUGGGGAGCAAACAGGAUUAGAUACCCCAGUAGUCCCUGUCUCUUAUAC
rnacentral:rRNA from 1 species